UACGUAGGGGGGCAAGCGUUGUCCGGAAUCAUUGGGCGUAAAGCGCGUGUAGGCGGCCCGGUAAGUCCGCUGUGAAAGUCCAGGGCUCAACCCUGGGAUGCCGGUGGAUACUGUCGGGCUCGAGUCCGGAAGAGGCGAGUGGAAUCCUGGUGUAGCGGUGGAAUGCGCAGAUAUCAGGAGGAACACCAAUAGCGAAGGCAGACUCGCUGGGACGGUAUUGACGCUAAGGCGCGAAAGCGUGGGGAG
rnacentral:rRNA from 1 species